rnacentral:lncRNA from 1 species
CGACAUAUGCAUUAAGCCAUUAGCCCCAAAUUUUAUUUCAUUAAAGUCUCUUUAAAGUAUACUCAAUUUCAGCCAUUCUGUUCCAAUUUAUCUCCAGAGAGUAGAGGGCCUGCCGUAUCUAUGUUAUAGGAUACCCAACUUGUUAUAUGGAUCUAAUAUGAAGCAUAUUUACGUAAAGACGUAUAAAAGUGAAUUAAAGAUGCAUAUUACAAAGAUGGAAUGGGAAAUUAUUGGGUUUUCACUUUGUCAACCUUGUCAAAGCCAUGAUUUCAGUAGUGUUUUUGACGAAAACAUCAACUUAGUACUAAUCAAACUUCUAAUAUAUCCCCCCCCCCAGGGUGGUGUCCAUAUCGUCACAAAUCUUGCUUAUCAAACCAGGUGAGGGCAAAAUUAUAAUUUUGUUAAACUUCUCGAUUUAGUACAAAUUCAGCACAAAAAAUUGCUGGGGAUUCGCUUUUUCUUAAAAGGUGAGUAUUAUGCUCUGACUUAGGACUAUGAAAACCUUAUCUGACUUUAGACUUAGUUUUAAUGUUUUUCUAAAACGUUGUAUUUCGUAUCUAGUAAAAUGCCUCGGGUUUCUGUGGACACAGUCUAUUCGGUCAUAAAAUUUGAGCCAAAGUCACUUUGAAUAUGAAUUAUGAUAAAUAUUAUUAAACUUUUGACUUAACAAAUAUUCUUUUUCAAUUGUCAUCUUUUUGAGUAUUCUGAGAAAAAUCAUUUUAUGAAAUAAAAUUUGAGCCAGAAUGAGUUUCAAUUUAUAUUAAUUAUUAUUAAAAUUUUCCCCGAAAUUUUUUUGAACUGCCUUUUAAUUGAGUAUACAUAAAGAUAACUCAUUUUAUGAAAUAAACUUUAGGACUAACAUUCGCUUUGGACAUCAUUGUUGCCGAGAUUGUUGCCAAACCCUUUAGAUGUUAUUUUACAUACCAAAAAUACAGAUCUAAAUUUUCCAACCCAAUCUUCCACAGUACUAUUCAGCCCCGACCACGGACACUUCUUUUUAUUAUUUAUGUUAAAACCAGAACAUCUUAUGAAAAAACUUUGUGCGUGCGCACGCCCUAUUGCAAACGCUCAAAAUGGCAAAGUUGUCAAUUUUUUGUUUUCGCAGUUUUAUUACGCCAUUUUAUUUUUACGUUUCGUGCGAGUGUGUAUUGUGCAGUUCGGACGCUUCUAAACUGUCUAUCUCCCUAACUAUUUUCGCACGCGACGGACCAUCUUAUCCGCAUGCAAACGCCCUGAAAAGGAAUACCCCUACAUGCCUGAAUACCUUUGUGUUCCAUUGAACACAUUGAGCCGCAAUAACCGCCAUAAGAGAGGGGACCUAGUCACUGGUAGCGGACUGUUUUUUC